rnacentral:rRNA from 1 species
UGCAAGUCGAACGAGUUCUGAUUAUUGAAAGGUGCUUGCAUCUUGAUUUAAUUUUGAACGAGUGGCGGACGGGUGAGUAACACGUGGGUAACCUGCCCUUAAGUGGGGGAUAACAUUUGGAAACAGAUGCUAAUACCGCAUAAAUCCAAGAACCGCAUGGUUCUUGGCUGAAAGAUGGCGUAAGCUAUCGCUUUUGGAUGGACCCGCGGCGUAUUAGCUAGUUGGUGAGGUAACGGCUCACCAAGGCAAUGAUACGUAGCCGAACUGAGAGGUUGAUCGGCCACAUUGGGACUGAGACACGGCCCAAACUCCUACGGGAGGCAGCAGUAGGGAAUCUUCCACAAUGGACGCAAGUCUGAUGGAGCAACGCCGCGUGAGUGAAGAAGGCUUUCGGGUCGUAAAACUCUGUUGUUGGAGAAGAAUGGUCGGCAGAGUAACUGUUGUCGGCGUGACGGUAUCCAACCAGAAAGCCACGGCUAACUACGUGCCAGCAGCCGCGGUAAUACGUAGGUGGCAAGCGUUAUCCGGAUUUAUUGGGCGUAAAGCGAGCGCAGGCGGUUUUUUAAGUCUGAUGUGAAAGCCCUCGGCUUAACCGAGGAAGUGCAUCGGAAACUGGGAAACUUGAGUGCAGAAGAGGACAGUGGAACUCCAUGUGUAGCGGUGAAAUGCGUAGAUAUAUGGAAGAACACCAGUGGCGAAGGCGGCUGUCUGGUCUGUAACUGACGCUGAGGCUCGAAAGCAUGGGUAGCGAACAGGAUUAGAUACCCUGGUAGUCCAUGCCGUAAACGAUGAAUGCUAGGUGUUGGAGGGUUUCCGCCCUUCAGUGCCGCAGCUAACGCAUUAAGCAUUCCGCCUGGGGAGUACGACCGCAAGGUUGAAACUCAAAGGAAUUGACGGGGGCCCGCACAAGCGGUGGAGCAUGUGGUUUAAUUCGAAGCAACGCGAAGAACCUUACCAGGUCUUGACAUCUUUUGAUCACCUGAGAGAUCAGGUUUCCCCUUCGGGGGCAAAAUGACAGGUGGUGCAUGGUUGUCGUCAGCUCGUGUCGUGAGAUGUUGGGUUAAGUCCCGCAACGAGCGCAACCCUUAUGACUAGUUGCCAGCAUUUAGUUGGGCACUCUAGUAAGACUGCCGGUGACAAACCGGAGGAAGGUGGGGAUGACGUCAAAUCAUCAUGCCCCUUAUGACCUGGGCUACACACGUGCUACAAUGGAUGGUACAACGAGUUGCGAGACCGCGAGGUCAAGCUAAUCUCUUAAAGCCAUUCUCAGUUCGGACUGUAGGCUGCAACUCGCCUACACGAAGUCGGAAUCGCUAGUAAUCGCGGAUCAGCACGCCGCGGUGAAUACGUUCCCGGGCCUUGUACACACCGCCCGUCACACCAUGAGAGUUUGUAACACCCGAAGCCGGUGGCGUAACCCUUUUA